GAUGAACGCUGGCGGCGUGCUUAACACAUGCAAGUCGAACGAUGAACCUCACUUGUGGGGGGAUUAGUGGCGAACGGGUGAGUAACACGUGAGUAACCUGCCCUUGACUCUGGGAUAAGCCUGGGAAACUGGGUCUAAUACCGGAUAUGACUUGUCACCGCAUGGUGGUGGGUGGAAAGCUUUUGUGGUUUUGGAUGGACUCGCGGCCUAUCAGCUUGUUGGUGGGGUAAUGGCCUACCAAGGCGACGACGGGUAGCCGGCCUGAGAGGGUGACCGGCCACACUGGGACUGAGACACGGCCCAGACUCCUGCGGGAGGCAGCAGUGGGGAAUAUUGCACAAUGGCGCAAGCCUGAUGCAGCGACGCCGCGUGA
rnacentral:rRNA from 1 species